CCCUUAGAUGUCCUGGGCCGCACGCGCGUUACACUGAUGCAUUCAACGAGCUUAUAACCUUGGCCGAGAGGCCUGGGCAAUCUUGUUAACGUGCAUCGUGAUAGGGAUAGAUUAUUGAAAUUAUUAAUCUUGAACGAGGAAUUCCUAGUAAACGCAGAUCAUCAAUCUGCAUUGAUUACGUCCCUGCCCUUUGCACACACCGCCCGUCGCACCUACCGAUUGGAUGGUCCGGUGAAGCCUCGGGAUUGUGGUUCUUGCCGCUUUAUUGUGGCGUGACCGCGAGAACUUGUCUAAACCUUAUCAUCUAGAGGAAGGUGAAGUCGUAACA
rnacentral:rRNA from 1 species